UGGGGAAUAUUGGACAAUGGGCGAAAGCCUGAUCCAGCCAUGCCGCGUGUGUGACGAAGGUCUUCGGAUUGUAAAGCACUUUAAGUUGGGAGGAAGGGCAUUAACCUAAUACGUUAGUGUUUUGACGUUACCGACAGAAUAAGCACCGGCUAACUCUGUGCCAGCAGCCGCGGUAAUACAGAGGGUGCAAGCGUUAAUCGGAAUUACUGGGCGUAAAGCGCGCGUAGGUGGUUUGUUAAGUUGGAUGUGAAAUCCCCGGGCUCAACCUGGGAACUGCAUUCAAAACUGACUGACUAGAGUAUGGUAGAGGGUGGUGGAAUUUCCUGUGUAGCGGUGAAAUGCGUAGAUAUAGGAAGGAACACCAGUGGCGAAGGCGACCACCUGGACUAAUACUGACACUGAGGUGCGAAAGCGUGGGGAGCAAACA
rnacentral:rRNA from 1 species